AUGGCUAAGAUCUGGGAGAGGAAGACGAGGGAUAUUGGCCAAGUCAAAUGCAUCAAGGACGGAGCAGGCCAACUCUUGGUGAAGGACGAAGAGAUUAAGCAUAGAUGGCGGGAGUACUUCGACAAGCUGUUCAAUGGGGAGAAUGAGAGUUCUACCAUUGAACUGAAUGACUCCUUUGAUGAGACCAGCAUGCGUUUUGUGCGGCGCAUCCAGGAGUCUGAGGUGAAGGAGGCUUUAAAAAGGAUGAAAGGAGGCAAGGCGAUGGGCCCUGAUUGUAUCCCCAUUGAGGUGUGGAAAGGUCUCGGGGACAUAGCGAUAGUAUGGCUAACCAAGCUUUUCAACCUCAUUUUUCGGGCAAACAAGAUGCCAGAAGAAUGGAGACGGACUAUAUUAGUACCAAUCUUCAAGAACAAGGGGGAUGUUCAGAGUUGUACUAAUUACCGUGGAAUUAAGCUGAUGAGCCAUACAAUGAAGCUAUGGGAGAGAGUCAUUGAGCACCGCUUAAGAAGAAUGACAAGCGUGACCAAAAAUCAGUUUGGUUUCAUGCCUGGGAGGUCGACCAUGGAAGCCAUUUUCUUGGUACGACAACUUAUGGAGAGAUAUAGGGAGCAUAAGAAGGACUUUCAUAUGGUGUUCAUUGACUUGGAGAAGGCCUAUGAUAAGAUACCGCGGAAUGUCAUGUGGUGGGCCUUGGAGAAACACAAAGUCCCAGCAAAGUACAUUACCCUCAUCAAGGACAUGUACAAUAAUGUUGUGACAAGUGUUCGAACAAGUGAUGUCGACACCGAUGACUUCCCGAUUAAGAUAGGAAUGCAUCAGGGGUCAGCUUUGAGCCCUUAUCUUUUUGCAUUGGUGAUGGAUGAGGUCACAAGGGGUAUACAAGGAGAUAUCCCAUGGUGUAUGCUCUUUGCGGAUGAUGUGGUGCUAGUUGACGAUAGUCGGACGGGGGUAAAUAGGAAGUUAGAGUUAUGGAGACAAACCUUGGAAUCGAAAGGGUUUAGGCUUAGUAGAACUAAAACCGAGUACAUGAUGUGCGGUUUCAGUACUACUAGCUGUGAGGAGGAGGAGGUUAGGCUUGAUGGCCAGGUGGUACCUCGGAAGGACACCUUUCGGUAUUUGGGGUCAAUGUUGCAGGAGGAUGGGGGUAUUGAUGAAGAUGUGAACCAUCAAAUUAAAGCCGGAUGGAUGAAGUGGCGCCAAGCUUCUGGCAUUCUCUGUGACAAGAGAGUGCCACAAAAGCUAAAAGGCAAGUUCUACAGGACGGCGGUUCGACCCGCAAUGUUGUAUGGCGCGGAGUGUUGGCUGACUAAAGGCGACAUGUUCAACAGUUAG
rnacentral:rRNA from 1 species